rnacentral:tRNA from 1 species
GGCCUCAUGGUGUAAAUUAACACGGAAAGUUGCAAACUUUCAGAUUUUUAGAGGUUA